rnacentral:rRNA from 1 species
UAGGGAAUAUUGCACAAUGGGCGAAAGCCUGAUGCAGCAACGCCGCGUGCGCGAUGACGGCCUUCGGGUUGUAAAGCGCUUUUCGGGGAGAUGAGGAAGGACAGUAUUCCCGGAAUAAGGCUCGGCUAACUACGUGCCAGCAGCCGCGGUAACACGUAGGAGCCAAGCGUUAUCCGAAUUCACUGGGCGUAAAGCGCGUGUAGGCGGCUUGGUAAGUUGGAUGUGAAAGCUCCUGGCUCAACUGGGAGAGGACGUUCAAUACUGCCGUGCUAGAGGGCGACAGAGCGAGGUGGAAUUCCCGGUGUCGUGGUUAAAUGCGUAGAUAUCUGGUGGAACACCAGUGGCGAAAGCGGCCUGCUGUGUCGAACCUGACGCUCAGACGCGA